rnacentral:rRNA from 1 species
AUGAACGCUGGCGGCGUGCCUAAUACAUGCAAGUCGCGCGAACAGACGAGGAGCUUGCUCCUCUGACGUUAGCGGCGGACGGGUGAGUAACACGUGGAUAACCUACCUAUAAGACUGGGAUAACUUCGGGAAACCGGAGCUAAUACCGGAUAAUAUAUUGAACCGCAUGGUUCAAUAGUGUAAGACGGUUUUGCUGUCACUUAUAGAUGGAUCCGCGCCGCAUUAGCUAGUUGGUAAGGUAACGGCUUACCAAGGCAACGAUGCGUAGCCGACCUGAGAGGGUGAUCGGCCACACUGGAACUGAGACACGGUCCAGACUCCUACGGGAGGCAGCAGUAGGGAAUCUUCCGCAAUGGGCGAAAGCUUGACGGAGCAACGCCGCGUGAGUGAUGAAGGUCUUCGGAUCGUAAAACUCUGUUAUUAGGGAAGAACAAAUGUGUAAGUAACUAUGCACGUCUUGACGGUACCUAAUCAGAAAGCCACGGCUAACUACGUG